CAGGUGGGCUUGGAGAAUCUGUUUGCUGUCCUCUUUGCACUGCCAGCAUGGCUCUCAUGAGACGUGAACAGAGAGAAGACCACUGACUAAGAGCUGCAACUGUGUAUGCGAUACCUUCCAGAUGACUCAUCCUUUUUUUGACUGAAAAACAUUUAAUUCUGCCAUUAGGGUGGAUGACCAUUAGUCUGUCUUACUGCUCCAGCAGUGACCAGCUGCAGAUGUCUCAGGACCAGGACAAAAACAGGACUGAUGUGCACUGAUAUUUUCCCCGAAUACUUUUAGCUCUGCAUAGUCCUGCACUGGAAGUGAUAUCUUUCUGUUUAAUGGACCUUGUAGAAGCUCUCCUCUACAGGCAACCUCAAGUCAGGCACUGUUGUUGAUCCUCAUAUUUCUGGGAAAACUGCAAGGAAAUGAGCCAUUAAAUAUAAUGUAUU